AUGGCUCGCAAGGGUGGCGAGGAAGGGAGGAGCUAUGGUGGGGUGCGACGGGUGGUGGAUGAGCGCGCGCGGAAAUGCAAGCUGCGGUGUCGACGCCGACCUCUAGGCCGUGAAACCAGUGGAAAUCUUAUCAGCCUGAUACCGACCUUGGCGGCCAGGGCCAUUGAGCAUCAAGCCUUCAAGCAUGGCCGUUGA
rnacentral:rRNA from 1 species